rnacentral:rRNA from 1 species
UACAGGGGGGGCAAGCGUUGUUCGGAAUUACUGGGCGUAAAGGGCUCGUAGGUGGCCAACUAAGUCAGACGUGAAAUCCCUCAGCUUAACUGGGGAACUGCGUCUGAUACUGGAUGGCUUGAGUUUGGGAGAGGGAUGCGGAAUUCCAGGUGUAGCGGUGAAAUGCGUAGAUAUCAGGAGGAACACCGGUGGCGAAGGCGGGUCUCUGGGCCGUAACUGACGCUGAGGAGCGAAAGCAUGGGGAGCGAACAGG